rnacentral:rRNA from 1 species
CGGGAAAAGCUCAAAUUUGAAAUCUGGCAGCCUCAGGUUGUUCGAGUUGUAAUCUAUAGAAACGUUUUCCGCGCCGGCCCAUGUACAAGUCCCUUGGAAUAGGGCGUCAUAGAGGGUGAGAAUCCCGUCCUUGACACGGACCACCGGUGCUUUGUGAUACGUUUUCAACGAGUCGAGUUGUUUGGGAAUGCAGCUCAAAAUGGGUGGUAAAUUCCAUCUAAAGCUAAAUAUUGGCGAGAGACCGAUAGCGAACAAGUACCGUGAGGGAAAGAUGAAAAGCACUUUGGAAAGAGAGUUAAACAGUAUGUGAAAUUGUUGAAAGGGAAACGAUUGAAGUCAGUCGUGUCUAUUGGACUCAGCCGGUUCUGCCGGUGUACUUCCUUUAGAUGGGGUCAACAUCAGUUUUGAUCGCUGGAAAAGGGCGGGAGGAAUGUAGCACUCUCGGGUGAACUUAUAGCC